CUGCCCUCUCACGCCACCGCACCACACUGCGCAGGCGCGGACUGAGUCCAGGCCACGGAGCCUCUCUUGUCGACUACUCCCUCCCACCCCGCGCUGCACGAAUGGUACGCUCGCUUCCUAAGCGAAUACUGUCCCGGGAUCCUCCCAAGAUAAUCUAAAGGAUGAACAAAAUGGUUAUCCAGUGAAACUAAUUACGGUCCAAAGCUUCAUAGAAUUUACAUGCCCUUUCAUAACACUGAGGUCAAGCAAAGAGAAAGCCUGGGGAUAAGAAAACCAGUUUAAAACCGCCUGGACGGAAAUUCUAAUUAUAUGUCACCAUGACUUUGCCUUCAGAUUCAAUAUGAUAUAUUGCUCAAGUAAAUUCCAGCUAGCACUGCACUGAGAAAACCACAUCAUGAUGUACAGGACUUGGUUACAGAGGCAAUAUUUGUGGGGGUUGUGGAGCACAAUACUAAGGACAUCAUCAGACGGGCGGGGGAAAGCAGAAGGAACUGUCUUGUCCCUGUUCCCUACCAUCUUUCCCUGUCUUCAGGGAUGGCCAGCCAUCCCACAUCCUUUCUGCACCUUUUCUCGUUUUCUCCCGCAUUCUGCUGCUUGGAGUUGGGUAACACCCAACUCCUGAAGACAAUAUUCAAGCUCUGUUUCUAUGUACUAAGGAAAUGAAUGCCACAGUCCCACCGGAAGAGCCCUCAUGUCAUUUGAUGACCUCCAUGGGACUUCCAUGGGGAUCUGUUUCACAAGAUCAUGGAAACAGAGCCCGAAGACCAUGGGAUUAAGUCAUAAGAGGCCAAAGUCUUUCAGAUAUUUUUUUAAUGGCAGUUCCUAGACACAAUGGAGAAUUUCAGCUAUAUCAGCCUUCUAUAGAUAGUAUCAGGAACUCAAUCCCUUUGAAAGGGGAAAUCUGCUGUAAUGGUGAAUUUGUCAGAAGGAAGUUAAUUAGAAAUGAUCUUAUUAUUCAGUGCAAGACGCUUUAGCACCAACCCUGGCUUCCUUCAAAAAGCUGCUUAAAACCUGGCUCUUCCGCUGUGCCUUCGGAUAACCGAGCCCAUAGCUAUAGUAGCUGCACUGGCCAUUUCUCUGGAUUUGAGACAUUGCGCUUUAUUCCUCUGCCCUUAGAAUAUAACAUUGCACUUUAGUUCUAGUGGCCCUUCCAGGCCAUCCUCUCCUCCAUCCCAGUGGUUUUUUUUUCCUGUGAUUUAUAUGUUUUUGAGUGACUAUAUUGUUUUUGUUUAUGUGAUUAUUUUAGCCAAUUGCUAUGCUAUUUUUGCACUCUUAGUGCUUUAUAGUGUUUCAGUGUUUUAUUGUACAAUGCUUUUAUGCUGAUUUUAUAUUGGAAACCGCCCUGAGUUCGUCUUGGGAGAGAGGGCGGUAUACAAAUAAACUUUACUUACUUACUUACUUACUUUAUACAGUCAAAACACCUAGAAAAAAAGUCUUUCUGUUGAUUGGUUGAAACAUGUGGUUGCUACAUUCUUCUACACCUGUGCAAACACCACCCUGAGCAAGAAAGCUAUUGUUUUGUUAUUCUUUUACUUGUAAAUUGCUAUGUACAGUGAUGGCACUAAAUAAAUAAGAAUUCUUUA